rnacentral:rRNA from 1 species
CGUCGCCGCGGUAAUACAGAGGGUGCGAGCGUUAAUCGGAUUUACUGGGCGUAAAGCGUGCGUAGGCGGCUUUUUAAGUCGGAUGUGAAAUCCCUGAGCUUAACUUAGGAAUUGCAUUCGAUACUGGGAAGCUAGAGUAUGGGAGAGGAUGGUAGAAUUCCAGGUGUAGCGGUGAAAUGCGUAGAGAUCUGGAGGAAUACCGAUGGCGAAGGCAGCCAUCUGGCCUAAUACUGACGCUGAGGUACGAAAGCAUGGGGAGCAAACAGGAUUAGAUACCCCCGUAGUCCCUGUCUCUUAUACA